AAUGAACGCUGGCGGCGCGCCUAAUACAUGCAAGUCGAGCGAGAAGACGUAGCAAUACGUUUGUAAAGCGGCGAACGGGUGAGGAAUACAUGGGUAACCUACCCUAGAGUGGGGAAUAACGUAGCCGAAAGGUUAGCUAAUACCGCGUACGCUCCUUGGACUUCGGGUUCAGGGAGGAAAGCGAUACCGAGGGUAUCGCGCUCUUGGAUGGGCUCAUGUCCUAUCAGCUUGUUGGGAGGUAACGGCUCACCAAGGCUUCGACGGGUAGCUGGUCUGAGAGGACGAUCAGCCACACUGGCACUGCGACACGGGCCAGACUCCUACGGGAGGCAGCAGUAAGGAAUAUUGCGCAAUGGGCGAAAGCCUGACGCAGCGACGCCGCGUGGGGGAUGAAGGUCUUCGGAUU
rnacentral:rRNA from 1 species